GAUGAACGCUGGCGGCGUGCUUAACACAUGCAAGUCGAGCGAACGGACGAUACGCUUGCUUCUCUGAUGUUAGCGGCGGACGGGUGAGUAACACGUGUAUAACCCACCUAUAUGACUGGUAUAACUUCGGGAAUCGGUAGCUUAUCCCGUAUAAUCUUUUGAACCGUAUGGGUCAAAGGUGAGAGACGGUGUUGCUGGCUCUUCUCGCUGGUUCUGCGCUGCUUUGGCUAGUUGUUAAGGUAACGGCUUACCAAGGCGACGAUGCAUAGCCGAGCUGAGAGGGGGAUCGGCCACACUGGAACGGAGACGCGGUCCAGGCUCCUACGGGAGGCAGCAGUAGGGAAUCGUACGCAAUGGGCGAGAGCCUGGCGGAGCAAGGCCGCGUGAGUGAUGACGGUGUUCGGAUCGUAAAACUCUGUUAUGAGGGAAGAACAUAUGUGUAAGUUACUGUGCACAUCUUGACGGUACCUAGUCAGAAAGCCACGGCUAACUACGUG
rnacentral:rRNA from 1 species